rnacentral:rRNA from 1 species
UACGUAGGGACCAAGCGUUGUUCGGAUUUACUGGGCGUAAAGGGCGCGUAGGCGGCAAUUCAAGUCAUCUGUGAAAUCUCCGGGCUUAACUCGGAACGGUCAGAUGAUACUGCUUUGCUAGAGUGCGGAAGGGGCAAUCGGAAUUCUUGGUGUAGCGGUGAAAUGCGUAGAUAUCAAGAGGAACACCUGAGGUGAAGACGGGUUGCUGGGCCGACACUGACGCUGAGUGCGCGAAAGCCAGGGGAGGCAAACGGG